AGAGUUUGAUCAUGGCUCAGAUUGAACGCUGGCGGAAUGCUUUACACAUGCAAGUCGAACGGCAGCACGGGUGCUUGCACCUGGUGGCGAGUGGCGAACGGGUGAGUAAUGCGUCGGAACGUACCGAGUAAUGGGGGAUAACGCAGCGAAAGUUGUGCUAAUACCGCAUACGCCCUGAGGGGGAAAGUGGGGGAUCGUAAGACCUCACGUUAUUCGAGCGGCCGACGUCUGAUUAGCUAGUUGGUGAGGUAAUGGCUCACCAAGGCGACGAUCAGUAGCGGGUCUGAGAGGAUGAUCCGCCACACUGGGACUGAGACACGGCCCAGACUCCUACGGGAGGCAGCAGUGGGGAAUUUUGGACAAUGGGGGCAACCCUGAUCCAGCCAUUCCGCGUGAGUGAAGAAGGCCUUCGGGUUGUAAAGCUCUUUCAGCAGGAACGAAACGGUACGCUCUAACAUAGUGUGCUAAUGACGGUACCUGCAGAAGAAGCACCGGCUAACUACGUGCCAGCAGCCGCGGUAAUACGUAGGGUGCGAGCGUUAAUCGGAAUUACUGGGCGUAAAGCGUGCGCAGGCGGAUUGUUAAGCAAGAUGUGAAAUCCCCGGGCUUAACCUGGGAAUGGCAUUUUGAACUGGCAGUCUAGAGUGUGUCAGAGGGGGGUGGAAUUCCACGUGUAGCAGUGAAAUGCGUAGAGAUGUGGAGGAACACCGAUGGCGAAGGCAGCCCCCUGGGAUAACACUGACGCUCAUGUACGAAAGCGUGGG
rnacentral:rRNA from 1 species